GAUCCAACCGACAAACAUCAUCCCUGUGCAGAGGGAGGGGAUCCUCCCGACAGGCAUCAUCCAGAGGGAGGAUCCCAACGAGAACCAAUCAUUCCAACAAGGCAUCAUCCCAACACAAACCAAUGGAAUGGAACAGAUGGAAUGGCAUGGACCACCUUCACCUCCCAUCAUCCCCAUAGUGGGAUCCUGGGAUGCUGGAGUGAAUGCUCCACAUUGUGGACAUUUCUAUGCCAGGAGAAAAGACUUCUCCCACACAGAUAUCCGGAGUAGAUAUGUGGCGGAUCCUGCUUUAAUGACCAUCACCAAGCCGGAACACUCCGAGGCCAACCCUCAGAGCCAGACUGGCAGAUGGCUGGCGGCUGAACCUCAGCCCCCAGCACCCCCAGUACAGAAAACACCAAACAGUGGAGGCUGGCUCAGCUGGUUCUUCAGUGAAAGAAAGAGGUUCCUCAGAUGACAACGAUACCAGAUGACAAGCCUAGUUCUAAUAAGCUUGUUCCACCUCCUCCCCCGAUGGGGAUGUAUCUAGGGAACUCUAGUCUCCCCAAAGGAGUGAAUCCUUACUCCAUGAAAGCAGCAGGUCUAGGGGGCAGGUAUCCCAAGCUAUUGAACCCUGGUGGGAUCACCACAACGCCUCCAUACCAGGGACCUGGAUCGCUCCCUGCCCAGCACACAACACUCAUGGCACCAAUGGCUGUGCCAUUCGAUGUUUAAAGGCAGAAACUUGCCCAAGGCACUCUACCCUAUUGAGGUCAUUUUCCAGGAGGGAUCAUUUGAUAUUUCAGUAUUUUAAAAGACAAAAAAAGCAU